rnacentral:rRNA from 1 species
UACGGAGGGUGCAAGCGUUGUUCGGAAUCACUGGGCGUAAAGGGCGUGUAGGCGGUCUGGCAAGUCCGAUGUGAAAUCCCGAGGCUUACCCUCGGAAGUGCAUUGGAUACUGGCGGGCUAGAGUCCCGGAGAGGAGGGUGGAAUUCCUGGUGUAGCGGUGAAAUGCGUAGAUAUCAGGAGGAACACCGGUGGCGAAGGCGGCCCUCUGGACGGUGACUGACGCUGAGACGCGAAAGCGUGGGGAGCAAACAGGAUUAGAAACCCCCGUAGUCC